rnacentral:rRNA from 1 species
ACGGGAGGCAGCAGUGGGGAAUAUUGCACAAUGGGGGGAACCCUGAUGCAGCGAUGCCGCGUGGAGGAAGAAGGUUUUCGGAUUGUAAACUCCUGUCUUAAGGGACGAUAAUGACGGUACCUUAGGAGGAAGCUCCGGCUAACUACGUGCCAGCAGCCGCGGUAAUACGUAGGGAGCGAGCGUUGUCCGGAAUUACUGGGUGUAAAGGGAGCGUAGGCGGGAUGGCAAGUCAGAUGUGAAAACUAUGGGCUUAACCCAUAGACUGCAUUUGAAACUGUCGUUCUUGAGUGAAGUAGAGGUAAGCGGAAUUCCUGGUGUAGCGGUGAAAUGCGUAGAUAUCAGGAGGAACAUCGGUGGCGAAGGCGGCUUACUGGGCUUUUACUGACGCUGAGGCUCGAAAGCGUGGGUAGCAAACAGGAUUAGAUACCCUGGUA